rnacentral:rRNA from 1 species
UACAGAGGUCUCAAGCGUUGUUCGGAUUCAUUGGGCGUAAAGGGUGCGUAGGCGGCGCGGUAAGUCGGGUGUGAAAAUCUCGGAGCUUAACUCCGAAACUGCAUUCGAUACUGCCGUGCUUGAGGACUGGAGAGGAGACUGGAAUUUACGGUGUAGCGGUGAAAUGCGUAGAUAUCGGGAGGAACACCAAUGGCGAAGGCAGCUUGCUGGGACGGUACUGACGCUGAGACGCGAAAGCGGUGGGGAGCAAACAGG